UACGGAGGGUGCAAGCGUUGCUCGGAAUUAUUGGGCGUAAAGGGUAGGUAGGUGGUCUGAUUUGUCAGGGGUGAAAACCUUGGGCUUAACCCAAGAAGGGCCUCUGAAACGGUCGGACUAGAGUCUCGGAGAGGGUCGUAGAAUUCCCGGUGUAGCGGUGAAAUGCGUAGAGAUCGGGAGGAAUACCAGAGGCGAAGGCGGCGGCCUGGACGAGCACUGACACUAAACUACGAAAGCGUGGGGAGCAAACAGGAUUAGAUACCCUGGUAGUCCACGCUGUAAACGAUGGGUACUAGGUUUUGCGGGUCUUGACCCCUGCGGAACCGGAGCUAACGCGCUAAGUACCCCGCCUGGGAAGUACGGUCGCAAGACUAAA
rnacentral:rRNA from 1 species